rnacentral:rRNA from 1 species
GACGUAGGGCGCGAGCGUUGUCCGGAUUUAUUGGGAGUAAAGAGUUCGUAGGCGGCUUGUUGAGUAGGGUGUGAAAACCCGCGGCUUAACCGCGGGCCUGCAGCCGAUACGGGCAGGCUAGAGUUCGGUAGGGGAGACUGGAAUUCCUGGUGUAGCGGUGAAAUGCGCAGAUAUCAGGAGGAACACCGGUGGCGAAGGCGGGUCUCUGGGCCGAUACUGACGCUGAGGAGCGAAAGCGUGGGGAGCGAACAGG